AAUAGUAAAAAACUACUCUGUGUCUUACUGCUUUCCACGUGUUUUAGCAUGACACUUCUCAUCUUUCAACUGUCUUCCUAACAAAAGAGACUCAGGGAGAAGUUGAAGAGAGAUUGGGGAGAAGAUGAAGAAAGACAUAUGCAGAAGAUACAAGAGAGAUCCGGAGCCGCUGUAUCUCCCGUCACCGGGCACGUGCUCGCCUCCUAUCAAUCAAAGAUGUAGAAACUGUCGGUGGUGUCGGUUCCGCCAUGAACGGUGACGGCGUGGUGGCAGGAAGUCAAAAUAGAGACGGCGGGUGGGUAUCACAAGGAUGCCGGCGGCGAUUCAGAUAAAAGAUGCGAUGAUGAAUCCGUAGAGGUCGACAAUAGAAGAAGGCCAUCUGCAAUCACUAAUUCCCUUCCCGGCUUCUUAUUUAGCCAGUUGGUGGUGGCGAGAUGGCAACUUAGGUAGUGGGUUAAAGCAGGUUGGAUGCAUCUAUAUGCUAAUUGAAAACUACCAGGAUUGCGAACUGCUGUAAUAUUGAAAUGGGUCAUCUGUUUAAGCAGCACAACCUUUUCAUAUAGUGUUUUGGACUUAGGAGUAGCAUAGGCUGAACAUGAUGAUUUUAGAGACAGAGAGACUGUUUGAGAUGUAAGAAGAGUAACUGAAAAUUACAAUUCUUUUGAUUCUUUGAUUUCAUUUAUCUAGACUGCAUUUUACUGAUCUUUGCAGUUAGGUGAUGAUAAAAGUCCCAUUCAAAGAACAUUUGUUAAUCAGAGUGACCGUAUGAGUAACCAUGGGUCAAACAUUGAGCACGAAGACAAGAUCUGGAAUGGGAGAAAUGGCUAUCCUUCAACAUUCCAGUAAGUUAGUGGUAUGACUUUUUAGGUGAUGUUACUUUUGGGUGUUUUUUUUUUCCUGGUUUGGAGUUCUGUGCUAGCAACUUGCUAGCUAGAACCACUGAUAUAAAUGUUUUGGGAGUUGAACGAGAAUUUUGUUGCUUAAAAAGAAAAACUUAAGGAGUCAA